rnacentral:rRNA from 1 species
GGUGGAAGCACAGUAAUGUGUGGAGCUGACUGAUACUAAUAGGUCGAAGGCUUAACCAAG